rnacentral:lncRNA from 1 species
GAAUUACAGAAAUCAACUGAAGUCAUCCCCCUAUCCCAUUCAAUUCUCUGGUUACCUUUGUCUGGAAAUAGUGACGGAAUACACUUAUGGCACACUAAUGUGGGUAUUUUUGUUUGUCUUAAGGAAAUUUACCAAUUGUAUAGGUUUGUAUAGUACAUUGAUGAGCUUCAUUUUCUGAUUUUGCAAUGGUGUCUGUUUGGGU